GACGAACGCUGGCGGCGUGCUUAACACAUGCAAGUCGAGCGGUAAGGCCCUUUCGGGGGUACGACGAGCGGCGAACGGGUGAGUAACACGUGGGUGACCUGCCUCUAGCUCUGGGAUAAGCCUGGGAAGCUGGGUCUAAUACCGGAUAUGACCUCGCGGUGCAUGUUGCGGGGUGGAAAGCCUUGUGCGGCUAGGGAUGGGCCCGCGGCCUAUCAGCUUGUUGGUGGGGUGAGGCCUACCAAGGCGACGACGGGUAGCCGGCCUGAGAGGGCGACCGGCCACACUGGGACUGAGACACGGCCCAGACUCCUACGGGAGGCAGCAGUGGGGAAUCUUGCGCAAUGGGCGAAAGCCUGACGCAGCGACGCCGCGUGAGGGAUGACGGCCUGG
rnacentral:rRNA from 1 species